rnacentral:rRNA from 1 species
CCCUUAGAUGUUCUGGGCUGCACGCGCGCUACACUGAUGCGAUCAACAAGUUUUUCCUAUGUCGAUAGACACGGGUAAUCUUUUGAACUCGCAUCGUGAUGGGGAUAGAUUAUUGUAAUUAUUAAUCUUCAACGAGGAAUUCCUAGUAGGUGCAAAUCAUCAGUUUACAUCGAUUACGUCCCUGCCCUUUGUACACACCGCCCGUCGCUGCUACCGAUUGGUUGAUCUGGUGAAUUAUUCGGACUGCCGGCUGAAGGGGUUUCCUCAUCUGCCAGCGGAAAGUCUUGUUAACCCUAUCAACUAGAGGAAGCAGAAGUCGUAACA